rnacentral:rRNA from 1 species
CCUACGGGCGGCAGCAGUGAGGAAUAUUGGUCAAUGGGCGCGAGCCUGAACCAGCCAAGUCGCGUGAAGGAUGACGGCCCUAUGGGUUGUAAACUUCUUUUAUCGAGGAAUAAAAUGAGGCACGUGUGCCUUUUUGUGUGUACUUUAUGAAUAAGCAUCGGCUAACUCCGUGCCAGCAGCCGCGGUAAUACGGAGGAUCCGAGCGUUAUCCGGAUUUAUUGGGUUUAAAGGGAGCGUAGGUGGUGUGUUAAGUCAGUUGUGAAAGUUUGGGGCUCAACCGUAAAAUUGCAAUUGAUACUGGCAGCCUUGAGUACAGUUGAGGUAGGCGGAAUGCGUGGUGUAGCGGUGAAAUGCUUAGAUAUCACGCAGAACUCCGAUUGCGAAGGCAGCUUACUAAACUCCAACUGACAUUGAUGCUCGAAAGCGUGGGUAUCAAACAGGAUUAGAUACCCUUGUAGUC